GUGUCAGCCGCCGCGGUAAUACGUAGGUGGCAAGCGUUGUCCGGAUUUAUUGGGUUUAAAGGGUGCGUAGGCGGCCUAUUAAGUCAGUGGUGAAAUAUUUCAGCUCAACUGGAAUUGUGCCAUUGAUACUGAUGGGCUUGAGUACAGAUGAGGUAGGCGGAAUUGACGGUGUAGCGGUGAAAUGCUUAGAUAUCGUCAAGAACACCUAUAGCGAAGGCAGCUUACUAGGCUGUAACUGACGCUGAGGCACGAAAGUGUGGGGAUCAAACAGGAUUAGAUACCCUCGUAGUCC
rnacentral:rRNA from 1 species